rnacentral:rRNA from 1 species
UUCCGGUUGAUCCCGCCGGACCCGACUGCUAUUUGGGUGAGAAUAAGCCAUGCGAGUUGAAUGGGAUACCUAAAGUUCCCAUAGCAAACUGCUCAGUAACACAUGAUCAACUUACCCUAUAGAGAAAAAUAACCUCGGGAAACUGAGGAUAAUGUUUCAUAAUUGAAUUGGCUUGGAAAAGUUUUUCAAUGAAAAGGAUAAAAAAAAUGGUUUUUAUCUGCUAUAGGAUAGGAUCGUGUUCGAUUAUGGUUGUUGGUGAGAUAAUGGCUCACCAAGCCGAUAAUCGAUAGGGGCCGUGAGAGCGGGAGCCCCGAGAUGGGUACUGAGACAACGACCCAGGCCUUACGAGGCGCAGCAGGCGCGGAACCUCCGCAAUACACGAAAGUGUGACGGGGUUACCCAAAGUGUUCAAUAGAACUGUGGUAGGUGAGUAAUGUUCCCUACUAGAAAGGAGAGGGCAAGGCUGGUGCCAGCCGCCGCGGUAAAACCAGCUCUUCAGGUGGUCGGGAUAAUUAUUGGGCUUAAAGUGUCCGUAGCCGGUUUAGUAAGUUCCUGGUAAAAUCGGGUAGCUUAACUAUCUGCAUGCUAGGAAUACUGCUAUACUAGAGGGCGGGAGAGGUCUGAGGUACUACAGGAGUAGGGGUGAAAUCUUAUAAUCCUUGUAGGACCACCAGUGGCGAAGGCGUCAGACUGGAACGCGCCUGACGGUGAGGGACGAAAGCCAGGGGAGCGAACCGGAUUAGAUACCCGGGUAGUCCUGGCCGUAAACGAUGCAUACUAGGUGAUGGUACGGCCAUGAGCCGUAUCAGUGCCGUAGGGAAACCGUUAAGUGUGCCGCCUGGGAAGUACGGUCGCAAGGCUAAAACUUAAAGGAAUUGGCGGGGGAGCACCACAAGGGGUGAAGCCUGCGGUUCAAUUGGAUUCAACGCCGGGAAUCACUAGUGCGGCCG